AAUGGGUCAGCGACUUAUAUUCUGUAGCAAGGUUAACCGAAUAGGGGAGCCGAAGGGAAACCGAGUCUUAACUGGGCGUUAAGUUGCAGGGUAUAGACCCGAAACCCGGUGAUCUAGCCAUGGGCAGGUUGAAGGUUGGGUAACACUAACUGGAGGACCGAACCGACUAAUGUUGAAAAAUUAGCGGAUGACUUGUGGCUGGGGGUGAAAGGCCAAUCAAACCGGGAGAUAGCUGGUUCUCCCCGAAAGCUAUUUAGGUAGCGCCUCGUGAAUUCAUCUCCGGGGGUAGAGCACUGUUUCGGCAAGGGGGUCAUCCCGACUUACCAACCCGAUGCAAACUGCGAAUACCGGAGAAUGUUAUCACGGGAGACACACGGCGGGUGCUAACGUCCGUCGUGAAGAGGGAAACAACCCAGACCGCCAGCUAAGGUCCCAAAGUCAUGGUUAAGUGGGAAACGAUGUGGGAAGGCCCAGACAGCCAGGAUGUUGGCUUAGAAGCAGCCAUCAUUUAAAGAAAGCGUAAUAGCUCACUGGUCGAGUCGGCCUGCGCGGAAGAUGUAACGGGGCUAAACCAUGCACCGAAGCUGCGGCAGCGACGCUGAUGCGUUGUUGGGUAGGGGAGCGUUCUGUAAGCCUGCGAAGGUGUACUGUGAGGUAUGCUGGAGGUAUCAGAAGUGCGAAUGCUGACAUAAGUAACGAUAAAGCGGGUGAAAAGCCCGCUCGCCGGAAGACCAAGGGUUCCUGUCCAACGUUAAUCGGGGCAGGGUGAGUCGACCCCUAAGGCGAGGCCGAAAGGCGUAGUCGAUGGGAAACAGGUUA
rnacentral:rRNA from 1 species